GGAACCUGCGGAAGGAUCAUUAUUGAAAUAAACCUGAUGAGUUGCUGCUGGCUCUCUAGGGAGCAUGUGCACACUUGUCAUCUUUAUAUCUCCACCUGUGCACCUUUUGUAGACCUGGAUAUCUCUCUGAGUGCUUAGCACUUCAGGUUUGAGGAUUGACUUUAUUGUUCUAUCUUUAUAUUUCCAGGCCUAUGUUUCUUCAUAUACCCCAUUGUAUGUUAUAGAAUGUAGCAAAUAGGCCUUUGUGCCUAUAAACCUAUACAACUUUCAGCAACGGAUCUCUUGGCUCUCGCAUCGAUGAAGAACGCAGCGAAAUGCGAUAAGUAAUGUGAAUUGCAGAAUUCAGUGAAUCAUCGAAUCUUUGAACGCACCUUGCGCUCCUUGGUAUUCCGAGGAGCAUGCCUGUUUGAGUGUCAUUAAUAUAUCAACCUUCAACUUUUGUUGAAUGUUGGAUGUGGGGGUUUUCUUUUGCUGGUCUCUCUGAGUUCAGCUCCCCUGAAAAUCAUUAGCGGAACAAUUUUGUGGAUUCGUUCAUUGGCGUGAUAAAUUAUCUAUGCUAUUGACGUGAAGCAGUUCAGCUUAUAACAGUCCAUUGACUUGGACAAAUUUUUAUUAAUGUGACCUCAAAUCAGGUAGGACUACCCGCUGAACUUAA
rnacentral:rRNA from 1 species